rnacentral:rRNA from 1 species
AUGGAAGGAACUAAGCAGAUGAAUCCUUGCGCCAUCUGCCUCGGCGGCAUGGGCGCCGGCGGCGGGCAGGCCAUCUUCACGGCCGAGUGCUCCCACACGUUCCACUUCCACUGCAUCUCCGCCAGCGUCGAGCACGGCAACCUCCUCUGCCCGCUCUGCAACGCGCAAUGGCGCGAGCUGCCGUUCGUGCGACCGCCCGCGUCAAUGCCGCCUACCCAACCGCCGCCACCGCCGCCGUCCGUGGAUGUCGUGCAGCCAGCGCAUCCUCGGCGAGUACGCACCCAUUCCGUCGAUCCGGUCGUGUUCGACGACGACGAACAGGUGACGCCGCCUGAUGGCCGGCGACAAGCAGGCGCUGCAUCCGACGAAGCAGUGGUCGUCAAGACGCACAUCCACUACUCGGCCAUCGCCAGAGACUCGUCUGACGACAACUUCGCCGUACUCGUGCACCUUAAGGCUCCCGGGAUAACGGGCUCCGGCACCGAAGCGGCAGGCGACGCUCCGGCACAGCGCGCGCCUGUCGACCUCGUCACGGUGCUCGAUGUCAGCAGCAGCAUGCACGGGAGCAAGCUCGCGCUGCUGAAGCAGGCGAUGCGGUUCGUCAUCGACAUCCUCGGCCCCGACGACCGCCUCUCCGUCGUGUCCUUCUCGUCCAGGGCGCGCCGGGUAACCAGGCUCACGCGCAUGUCCGACGCCGGGAAGGCGCUGUGCGUGCGCGCCGUCGAGUCCCUCACGGCGCGCACAGGCACCAACAUCGCCGAGGGGCUCCGUACGGCCGCCAGGGUGCUCGACGAGCGCCGGUACAGGAACGGCGUCUCGAGCGUCGUGCUCCUCUCCGACGGCCAGGACAACUACACCCCGAUGAGGCAGGCGUUCGGGAGGGGAUUACCCAACUACGCAGCGCUCGUUCCGCCAUCCUUUGCGCGAACGGGCACCGGUGCUGGCGACCGGGCGACGCCGGUCCACACGUUCGGCUUCGGGAACGACCACGACGCGGCCGCGAUGCACGCCGUUUCCGAGGCGACGGGCGGCACGUUCUCGUUCAUCGAGAAUGAGGCCGUAAUCCAGGACGCGUUCGCGCAGUGCGUCGGCGGGCUGCUCUCCGUCGUGGUCCAAGAGGCGCGCCUCGCCAUCCAGUGCUUGCAUCCCGGAGUUCGCAUUGGCUCGGUCAAGUCUGGGCUUUACGAGAGCCGCGUCGACGAGGACGGCCGCGCUGCGUCGAUUGUAGUCGGCGAACUCUACGCCGACGAGGAGAGGCGUUUCUUGCUGUUCUUGGUCGUACCAAGAGCUGAAGCAACGGACGGUGAUGUCACUGCUCUAAUCAGAGUUAACUGCCUCUACCGAGACGCGGCCGCCGGCGCGGACGUCAACGUGACGGGAGAGGACACGGUGGUGGCGAGGCCAGAACACGCGGUGGACGCAGAACGCUCCGUCGAGGUAGAGCGGGAGCGCGUCCGGGUUGAGGCCACCGAGGACAUGGCGGCGGCGAGGGCAGCCGCGGAGCGGGGCGGGCACCAGGAGGCGGUGGAGAUCCUCGAGAACCGGCGGGGAGCGGUGGCGCAGUCAGACGCGGCGCGAGGCGGCGACCCCAUGAUCGUGGCGCUGGAGAUCGAGCUGCGGGACAUGCGCAGGCGCGUGUCGACCCGGCAGAACUACGCGCGGUCGGGGCGGGCGUCCAUGCUCGCCGGCAUGAGCGCGCACAUGCAGCAACGGGGCAGUUCAUCGCAGCUGCAGCUGCCGUCGGUGAUUGCAUUCCACGAUGGAGCGGUGACGACAACGGCGGCCACGCACCAGGUGUUGCAGCAAGCCGCGACGCUGCCGUACGCGACGCCGGCCAUGCUCGCCAUGCUGUUGCGGUCGCGGAGGGCGCGCGAGGCGUCUGCCGCGAGCGGGCAACGGCAGCCUGGCGCGCCAGAGGGAGCUCAAGGCUCCGAACCGACGGUCCCAAAGGAGCUGAACUAG